CCCGAACUAAAUCUAACAACAUUACUUGGAUCCAAGUGCAGUGUCCGCAACAGCGAAACAGUUACGAUUGCGGAUACUUUGUAUUGAGGUUUAUGAAAGAAAUCCUUCAGGCAAAUCAAUUAGAGAUUCCGCUCAAGUACCUUGACGAAUUCCGUGUUGCUGGGUACCCGAAACUUAAGUUGGAAGAAAUAAAAGAGGA